rnacentral:rRNA from 1 species
AGUGAACGCUGGCGGUAGGCCUAACACAUGCAAGUCGAACGGCAGCACAGUAAGAGCUUGCUCUUACGGGUGGCGAGUGGCGGACGGGUGAGGAAUACAUCGGAAUCUACUUUUUCGUGGGGGAUAACGUAGGGAAACUUACGCUAAUACCGCAUACGACCUACGGGUGAAAGCAGGGGAUCUUCGGACCUUGCGCGAUUGAAUGAGCCGAUGUCGGAUUAGCUAGUUGGCGGGGUAAAGGCCCACCAAGGCGACGAUCCGUAGCUGGUCUGAGAGGAUGAUCAGCCACACUGGAACUGAGACACGGUCCAGACUCCGACGGGAGGCAGCGGUGGGGAAUAUUGGACAAGGGGCGCAAGCCUGAUCCAGCCAUACCGCGGGGGUGAAGAAGGCCUUCGGGUUGUAAAGCCCUUUUGUUGGGAAAGAAAAGCAGCAGGUUAAGACCCCGCUGUUCGGACGGUACCCAAAGAAUAAGCACCGGCUAACUUCGU